AUGGCUAGUCCACCUGGAUACUCGUGUUAUUAUUUUUCAUAUAAGCCCUUUAUGAGGCGUCGCUUCGGACACCUGACUGUGCCAUGUAUUCUCAAGACCUCUCGAGGCGUCGCUAUUAGACAACCGCCAGGCAGUUAUUUUCAAGACCUCUCGAGGCGUCGCUUCCAGACACACGAUCAUGAUUCAGAGAGGAGUACUGUGAAGACACCCCACAACCUAGGAUCACAUUACGUGAAUCACAGGCACCGACGGGCCACAUUACGUGACCCUAAUUUCUCUGAAGAGGCGUUCAACGCCUUCAACUCAGGGGACGCGUACAUCCGAGCUGCUCAAGAUGGCCUUGCCAGAGCUAUGGACCAGUAUGUAAAGUACAUACAGGUUCUUAAAGAGAAGAAUACCCAGCUAUCUAAAGAGCUGGAAGAGUGCAAAGCCCAACUGCGGGCCGCAGUUGCAGGAAUGAAGGAGCCCUAG
rnacentral:rRNA from 1 species